AAAUAUUGGGACAUAUAAAAAAAGACAACUCUGUUCUACAGAGUAGCUGUUGACAUUAUAGUUGCGCAGGAACUUUGUUGUCUCUAGAGAACCUUGGGCAAAUCGCACAUCCCUGUGGCAGCGACUUUGCAUGCGGAUGUCAUCCAUAUCAACUUUCAAUGUCAGUUUCUGCGCCUGCCAUGGUGACCAUGGGUAUUGGGAUAUCAGGGUUCCAUUCGGUACAGGAACCCUGAAAAACGGCUACCACAUGCAAGGAAGGCAACAGGCGCGCAAAUGACCCACUCCCAACGCGGGAAGGUAGUGAU